AUAGCGUAUAUUAAAGUUGUUGCAGUUAAAAAGCUCGUAGUUGAACCUUGGGCCUGGCUGGCCGGUCCGCCUCACCGCGUGCACUGGUUCGGCCGGGCCUUUCCCUCUGGGGAAUCCCAUGCCCUUCACUGGGUGUGGCGAGGAACCAGGACUUUUACUGUGAAAAAAUUAGAGUGUUCAAAGCAGGCCUAUGCUCGAAUACAUUAGCAUGGAAUAAUAGAAUAGGACGUGUGGUUCUAUUUUGUUGGUUUCUAGGACCGCCGUAAUGAUUAAUAGGGACAGUCGGGGGCAUCAGUAUUCAAUUGUCAGAGGUGAAAUUCUUGGAUUUAUUGAAGACUAACUACUGCGAAAGCAUUUGCCAAGGAUGUUUUCAUUAAUCAGGAACGAAAGUUAGGGGAUCGAAGACGAUCAGAUACC
rnacentral:rRNA from 1 species